UUCAAUUUUACUCUUCGAUUGGAACCCCAUCGACCCGCUCAAGAGGGAAGACCCGACACAGAGAUUAGAGAUUAGGAGGACAUAGAAGAAAAUUCAACGUAUCGCCACCACCAGUCUCAGCCACCGCGAUGAUUCUUACGAUUCAUCGACAGUUCUACAGGCGUAUUUUCUACGCCGCCUCCCUAAACCCUUAUUUGACCCUUCCCUCCGUUGAACACCAGAGAAUCCCCACAACCAUAUGAUGUUUUCUCGACCUUUGCUACAUAGUUGUUACGUCCACCGCUGCCACCGCACGCGCGCCCUCCAAUAACAUGCUUACAUAUUUCGUCCUCCACCCCCGACUGUAUUUAAGCUGUUCUAAUUUUCUGGUCUUUCUUCCGUUGCUUUCCAAUUUCUGUCUCCAUAUGUUGUUAGAAGUCGUCAGUCUCAGGAUAGCCUUCCUGCUGUCAGCGUAUUAGGUCUCUAGAUAAAUAAUUUCUUGGAAUGUGUGUGUUAUUGUUGGUUUGUGUUUUUUAUACUCCAGUAGAUAUGCUGCUCUAUCAGUUACAGAGAAAUGGAAUUGAAGGUGUGUGCUCUCCUGUCACGACUCCGUUGAGGAUGCCACCUCAGCACAACGAGCACGCCACAAUGCCCAUACCGUCUGCUCUUAUAAAUCCAUACAUAUUCUUUAAUGAUUAGAAUUUUAGUAUUUCAUCAUAAAUAGUGUACUUAUUGAGUUCCUCAAUCGUUGAUCUUCUUCUGUUGAUCAGUUUGGGUGCUCCACUUGUGAAACUUAUGUCAAGGCCUGCAAGUAUGUCUCUGCCACAAGUAGCGGUUGAUGACUUCUAUAGUUAAGGUUUAACCAGCUCCUUCAUAUCUCCCUAUCUCUUUAUCCUUAACAUUCCCAAACUAAAUUAAUUGAGAUUUUGUAUUGUCUAUUUAUCUUUACAGCUCUACCGACCAGUUUUAUGAUGAAAUUUGAAAGUGAGUUUGACGAUGCACCACAAGUGUUUGAUGAAAUGAUAUAACAAAAUCUUAUUUUUACUUUCUUAUCUAAAAAAACUCACAAAAAAUCUCACUGUUUAAAAGCAAAUACCAUAACACUCAUACCAUAGCAAAACAUUGUAGGAUGUAUAAACCUUAAAAGCAAAUAUUUGAAGUGUCAAGACUAUAAAUAUUCUAUUUUUUAGUUACAAAAAUCAUUCACAUCUUCCAUACCACUUCAAUUAUCGAAACAUCUUUUAUUUCUAUUUCUAACCGGUUGUAACAUUUCAUUUUAGUUUAUGGGAAAAAAAUAUGCAAGCCAUUAAUUAAACGACUCUUAUACUAUCCAUUUCAAUUAUUGGAACAUAUUUGAUGUAGUCUGUGACUACAGGAAAAGACAAUUUAACUAGGCGUAUUGUCAAACGCAAAGAACAGGGGCACUAUCGUGUGCCUGACGACCAAAAAUUGAGAAACUGAUCUCGACUCUUUAUUGCAAAACAAAAACGAAUUCAGAAUAUCACACACCAAAAAACCUGAUGCAUGUUUUGACCCAAUACUUAUAGCUAAACAAUACGAAACCUAAUACCACUAGAAAACCUCAACAGAUAAAGACUAAAUAAAAAAAAAACAAAAUAAACUAAACUUGGGCUUUACUCCUUCUCGAAUACAAUGUCGGCCAGGGGUAAAUUAGGAAAAAAAACACUAUCACUAUAUUGCAUCAACGCAUCAUUCUCCCCUGCUUGAAAAAGAACUCGUCCUCGAGUGAUUAUCAGGAUACAAAGGCAGAUCCGGCUGAAAAAUGGCGAGGUCAGACACAUUAAACGUAGGCGAAAUCGACCAGCCAUCCGGUAGAUCAACAACAUAGGCAUUAUCAUUCACUUUCCGAAUUAUCUUGCAAGGGCCAAUUUUCUUCAUCUUGAGCUUGUUAUACGUACCCACUGGGAACCGUUCUUUUCGUAAAUGAACCAUAACGAGAUCACCCACUUCAAAUACUUUCUCGCGUCGAUGUUUGUCACGUGCUUCUUUAUACUUAGCAUUAGACAACGCUAGCUUUUGUUUAACCUCUUCUUGGACUGCUUCGAUUUUUUUAGCCAAAUUUUCAGCUGCUAAAUUGUGCCCAGGCAACGCAGGUAACUGAAUAAGAUCUAGUGGAUGUUUAGGCUGCCUUUGGUAACCAAUCUGAAAAGGCGAUUUACCAGUUGACCAGUUGACCAUGUUAUUAAAAGCGAAUUCAGCUGGAGCGAGAAAUUGGUCCCAUUGUUUAGGGCGAUCGCCACAAAGACACCUUAUUAAAUUCCCUAAGGUUUUGUUCACCACUUCAGUCUGCCCAUCUGUUUGGGGAUGGAAAGAGGUACUAAAUUGGAGCGUGGUCUGAAAUAACCUCCAAAGAGUGCGCCAAAAAUGACUAAGAAACUUGGAGUCACGAUCAGAUGUGAUUGUUGAAGGAAUGCCAUGUAAACGAACUAUUUCCCGAAAGAAUAAUAAGGCAAUAUUAGACGCAUCCGUCGUUUUCUUGCAAGGGAUAAAAUGGGACAUUUUGGAGAAACGAUCAACUACCACAAACACAGAAUCAUUUCCUCUUGUUGUCUUGGGAAGACCUAAAACAAAAUCCAUAGAAAUAUCUUCCCAAGGGCCGUCAGGAAUAGGUAAUGGAGUAUACAAACCAGUAUUUUGGGAUUGGCCUUUGGCUUUCUGACAAAUAACACAUUUAGCAACAAAUCGACCCACAUCCCGUCGUAAUUGCGGCCAAAAAUAACGCUCUUCAACUAACGCAAUAGUCUUAUCCCUUCCAAAAUGGCCUCCUAAUCCGCCUCCAUGCAAUUCUUUGAUAAGUUCUUCCCGUAAAGAAGUACGGGGAAUACAGAGACGAUGAUCAUAGAACAGAUAACCAUCAAGCUUAAACAUAGGUGGAACUAUCUUGCUGCUCCAUAUCUUUUUAAAAUCUUCAUCAUCAGCGUAUAACUCCUUCAAAUCUUUGAAACCAAGGAUUUCUGUUCGUAAGCUUACUAAUAACUCAGCUCGACGACUCAACGCAUUAGCCACCUUGUUCUGAUCAUCGGAUUUAUGUUUUAAAACAAACGAAAAACGUUGCAGAUAUGAAACCCACCGCCCAUGCAUGCGAUUUAAUUUUUGUUGACUAUUAAAAUACUUAAGUGCUUCGUUGUCUGUAUAAAGAAUAAACUCACGAUGGAACAGAUACUGCUCCCAAUGUUGUAUGGAUCUAUAAAUCGCAUAAAAUUCUAACUCAUAAGUAGUCCACUUUUGUCGUGCCUCACUAAGUUUCUCACUAAAGAAUGCCACGGGUUUCCCGUCUUGGGACAAAACAACACCGAUGCCUAUAAUCGAUGCAUCACACUCUAAAGUGAAAAGUUUAUCGAAAUUGGGCAAAACUAGUAAAGGAACAGAAGUCAACUUUUCUUUGAUGAGGGCAAAACUUCGAGUAGCUGCAUCUCCCCAUUGAAACUGACCCUUUUUCAGACACUGGUGAUAGGAGCCAUAAUAGAACUAAAAUUUCGAACAAAUCACCGAUAAAAAGUCGCAAGUCCAUGAAAACUACGGACUUCACUAACGGUUUUGGGAACCGGCCACUCGCGUAUGACACGUACUUUUUCCUCAUCUACUCGAAUUCCAUCUGCAGUAAUGAUAAAACCUAAAAAUAGUAGCUGAUUGGUCAAGAAACUACAUUUCUUUAGGUUGAGAUAAAGUUUAUUACUGUCCAAAACAGUAAGAACCUCUGUGAGGUGUAGAAGAUGCUCACUCUCUGUCUUACUAUACACGAGAAUAUCAUCAAAAUAAACGACCACAAAAGAUCCAAGGAAAGGUUUUAACACCUAGUUCAUGAGUCGAGAGAAAGUGCUGGGAGCGUUAGACAAACCGAAAGGCAUGACCAACCACUCGUAUAGACCAUCUUUAGUUUUAAAUGUUGUCUUCCAUUCAUCACCAGGGCGAAUACGGAUCUGAUGAUACCCGCUUUGUAGGUCGAGUUUAGAAAACACAUUGGACCCUUCCAACAUGUCUAACAUGUCAUCUAAUCGGGGAAUUGGAAAUCUAUAUGCCACUGUUAUCUUGUUGAUGGCCCUGCUAUCAACACACAUUCGCCAGCUACCAUCUUUCUUUGGAACCAACGGAGCGGGGACUGCACAAGGACUCAUGCUCUUACGAAUGAGAACCUUUUUCAAUAAAUCUUCAACCUGUUCUUGUAGUAUUUGGUUCUCUUUUGGGCUCAUGCGAUAGUGUGCUAGGUUGGGUAACUUAGAUCCCGGAAUGAAAUCAAUUUGGUGUUGAAUAUCGCGCAUUGGUGGAAGUGUUGCUGGUAAUUCACUGGGAAUAAGGGACUUAAACUUCGAUAGGAUAGGUGUUAAUUUGGCAGGAAUGUUAUUUUCGCCCCCCUCCUGGAUAGAACCUGUAGCAACAAUAGCAUAAAUGACAGAUUCCCCUUUUAUCUCUUCUUCAAAAUCUCGAUGAGACAACACCACCAGGCUAUUUUUCUUCACAUCGUGAUGAGGGGUCGUGGGUUUACUAGAUUCUAUCAAAGGGACUAAAAUCAUCUUCACCCUAUUAACCUUAAAGGAGUAUGUGUUUUCCUUGCCCUUGUGUAUCGCAUCCUUAUCAAAUUCCCAAGGUCGCCCAAGCAGAAUAUGACAUGCAUCCAUGUCCACAACAUCAAACCACAAUUCAUCUUUAUAUUUUCCAAUAGAAAAAGGGAUUUUACAUUGAUCAGUGACGCGGAUCUCCCCAAUUGAUUUGAUCCAUCCUAUUUUGUAUGGGUGCGGAUGCCUUCUGGUAGGUAGUUUGAGUUGUUGCACAAUUGUUUGAGAAACAAUAUUAUAUUUUCUGUACUCCCACCAUCAAUAAUAACGUCAAAUAUCUUUUGAUGUACUACACAACGAGUCCGAAACAGGUUAUGGCGUUGCGAGGGUUCUUCAGUUACUUUAGGCGCAAGCAUAAUGCGGCGGAUGACACAUGAUUUAGCAGUGUCAUCCUCACAAAAAGUCUCGUCAGCUGCAAAACAAAUCUCAACUUCUUCGUUGCCACCCUCCUCACUAACAACUUCAUCAUCAACUUCUCCUUCUUCUCUUGUGGUAAGGUUAACUUUGGCUGUUAUUCCUCUGCAAUCGCUAGAUCGAUGACCCGAGAUACCACAUUUAAAACACUUCCCUGGUAUGGGUCGAGCGUAAGGGUUGGUGGAUUUCAGGGUGGUAGUAGCGGUUGCGGUGACACCUUUACCCUUGUCGGGUGCUGGUGUUCUUGUAACCACUUGGCUGUUUUCUGUUGGUUGUGAUGUUGACCCACUGGUGAAUUUAUUCCGAUUAGCAGGGAAUGAAAAGGUUUUACUACUCUUCGCCAAUUGUGUUUCUGCCCUGAUAGCUAGAUUAUACGCAUCAUCCAAUGCAUAUACAGGUACUAGGGAUAUUCUGUCUUGAAUCGGAGGGCGUAAUCCGUUAGUAUAGUGCGAGACCUGUUGUGAUUCGGUUUCUGUGAGGUCAUUCCGAGCGGCUAAUCGAUGGAAUUCGGUGGUGUAAGCCUCCACUGAUCGAUCUCCUUGCGUGCAAUUUUGAAACAUGUUGAAUAAAAUUUGAUCAUGAUUAGGGGGUAAGAACUUGCGCUUUAGUUCACGUUCCAUUUGAUCCCAGGAAGUAAUAUGUAAUUUACCUUGUCGUUCUCGCGUGGUUUGCAGGUUCUUCCACCAAGCCUGAGCUCCUCCUUUGAGUUUGUAAGCCACGAGAGUGACCCGUUUAUUUCCCGGGAUAUCAUAGAAUUGAAAAAAAUUCUCCAGCUCAUUCAUCCAGUCUAGGAAGCCUUCGAUGUUCAUGGAUCCGCUGAAAGAGGGUACAUCUUUGGCUCUUUGGUGGUAAUCGAAAUCAUGUGCAUCCCUACGUAGACCCGGACACCCUCUCGCACCUUCAUCACCGUCAUCUUCUUCUAGAUCGGAGUCUUCCCUGUUCCGUUCUUAUUCCUGCAUCCGUAUUCGAUCAUAAGCAUUGAUGAUUGGAGGAGGUCGCUGAAUGGGUUGCUGGUUGCGAAUGAACUGUACGAGCGGUGGUUGGUUAUUGCGAUUGAGUGCUUCUUGGUUUGCUUGCUCCCUACGAUUCUGAUUGUUGUUGGUUGUAAGAAGUGCUAAACUUUCUGUAAUUUGUUGCAAGGAUUGUUGGAGGGUUUGGAGGGUUUGUUCGAUCUUGACGAUUCGUCCAGAAUCGGUUUCUUCGCCCGCCAUGGAUGUUGGGCUCUGAUACCACCUGAUGUAGUCUGUGACUACAGGAAAAGACAAUUUAACUAGGCGUAUUGUCAAACGCAAAGAACAGGGGCAUUAUCGUGUGCCUGACAACCAAGAAUUGAGAAACUGAUCUCGACUCUUUAUUGCAAAACAAAAACGAAUUCAGAAUAUCACACACCAAAAAACCUGAUGCACGUUUUGACCCAGUGUGACAAAGUUUUGUUAUCAAUUAAAGUCAGUACUUUUUUUGGUGCUGUGAAGGAGUUGGAGAGCAUAGUGCGAAGCAUUAUCUCAAUGCUUUCAAGCCCAAAUGAUGAAUUUCCUGCAAAUGUCGAAGCUGCGAUGAUGACCAUAUUGCCCUUGUGUUAUUUGUUUUUUAUUGAGCAUUUGUUUAAGAUGUUUGUGUUUUUUUUUUGGGUGUGAUUACAUAAAGAAUGCAAGACUCAAUGUAGGUUUCUCUUGAAGAGAUGAGUUCAGAGUAGUAAUGCCCCUUGCAGUCUUUGAUGAUGCCGGCUUGGAAAUGGCGAUACAAUGAAGCGUAAGUGAAUGGCAUUUAAAGACUAUAUAUUGUAUUUGUUAUAACUUAUAACUAUAUUAUAAAUAUUAACAAAAACUGUAAAUGAAAGGGUAAAAUUGUCAUUUACGACAAAAAUAGCUUUCAUUGUUACUACAAAAAAAAAAAGGCAACUUCAUUUUUAUCACAAAAGCAACAUGGUACUUUCA